rnacentral:lncRNA from 1 species
GGUUGGUUUGUUUUUCUUGAAGAUAGGGUGGAGAGUCGUUGAGUAUAGGAUAUUUUGAUUUGACGAAGGAAGAGAACGAUAAUAGAUUGCUUAAUCUUAAAGUUUAAAAAAUCAAAAGAAGUUAUUGGUUCUUCUGUUUAACUUGUUUGUCCAGUUCGAUUAAUUAAACCAUUAAAAAAUUCAUAAAAAUAAAAAAAUAUAUAUUAAAAAUCUAAUUCAAUCAAUUCCCAACUCAACUGAUCUAAUAUUCAAAUAACCUUCCUUAAUCCUCUCC